AACGAACGCUGGCGGCAUGCCUAACACAUGCAAGUCGAACGAGACCUUCGGGUCUAGUGGCGCACGGGGGCGUAACGCGUGGGAACCUGCCCUUAGGUUCGGAAUAACUGCCCGAAAGGGGUGCUAAUACCGGAUAAUGUCUUCGGACCAAAGAUUUAUCGCCUUUGGGUGGGCCCGCGUUGGAUUAGCUAGUUGGUGGGGUAAACGCCUACCAAGGACACGUUCGCUAGCUGGUCUGAGAGGAUGAUCAGCCACACUGGGACUAAGACACGGCCCAGACUCCUACGGGAGGCAGCAGUGGGGAAUAUUGGACAAUGGGCGAAGGCCUGAUCCAGCCAUGCCGCGUGAGUGAUGAAGGCCUUAGGGUUGUAAUGCUCUUUUACCCGGGAUGAUAAUGACAGUACCGGGAGAAUAAGCUCCGGCUAACUCCGUG
rnacentral:rRNA from 1 species